GUUCAUACUUAAAUCUUCUAACUUCAAAAUAAAUUUAUAGUGUAGUAUUUUAGUAUGUGAAGCUAUAGUAAUGUUCCCCUCACUAUCCUUUGCAUCUAAUUUUUUAUGGUGUAUUUGGACGUUGGGGUUCUACAUUA